UGCAGUCGAACGAUGAUCCCAGCUUGCUGGGGGAUUAGUGGCGAACGGGUGAGUAACACGUGAGUAACCUGCCCUUAACUCUGGGAUAAGCCUGGGAAACUGGGUCUAAUACCGGAUAUGACUCCUCAUCGCAUGGUGGGGGGUGGAAAGCUUUAUUGUGGUUUUGGAUGGACUCGCGGCCUAUCAGCUUGUUGGUGAGGUAAUGGCUCACCAAGGCGACGACGGGUAGCCGGCCUGAGAGGGUGACCGGCCACACUGGGACUGAGACACGGCCCAGACUCCUACGGGAGGCAGCAGUGGGGAAUAUUGCACAAUGGGCGAAAGCCUGAUGCAGCGACGCCGCGUGAGGGAUGACGGCCUUCGGGUUGUAAACCUCUUUCAGUAGGGAAGAAGCGAAAGUGACGGUACCUGCAGAAGAAGCGCCGGCUAACUACGUGCCAGCAGCCGCGGUAAUACGUAGGGCGCAAGCGUUAUCCGGAAUUAUUGGGCGUAAAGAGCUCGUAGGCGGUUUGUCGCGUCUGCCGUGAAAGUCCGGGGCUCAACUCCGGAUCUGCGGUGGGUACGGGCAGACUAGAGUGAUGUAGGGGAGACUGGAAUUCCUGGUGUAGCGGUGAAAUGCGCAGAUAUCAGGAGGAACACCGAUGGCGAAGGCAGGUCUCUGGGCAUUAACUGACGCUGAGGAGCGAAAGCAUGGGGAGCGAACAGGAUUAGAUACCCUGGUAGUCCAUGCCGUAAACGUUGGGCACUAGGUGUGGGGGACAUUCCACGUUUUCCGCGCCGUAGCUAACGCAUUAAGUGCCCCGCCUGGGGAGUACGGCCGCAAGGCUAAAACUCAAAGGAAUUGACGGGGGCCCGCACAAGCGGCGGAGCAUGCGGAUUAAUUCGAUGCAACGCGAAGAACCUUACCAAGGCUUGACAUGAACCGGAAACACCUGGGAAACAGGUGCCCCGCUUGCGGUCGGUUUACAGGUGGUGCAUGGGUUGUCGUCAGCUCGUGUCGUGAGAUGUUUGGGUUAAGUCCCGCAACGAGCGCAACCCUUCGUUCUAUGUUGCCAGCGCG
rnacentral:rRNA from 1 species